CCUUUGUCUUUUGGCUCUUGUCGGGCGAUCAUACGUACUUGGGCUCCGAUCCUCCCCUCUGUUGGUGCUUGUGUCUUCCCUGCUUUUUGGUGUGUGCGUGCGUGUGUGCGUUUGAGAGGGAAGGGGGGCAUUGCGCCGUCCACCAUGCCGGCUUCUGUGUCUUCGCCGCUGCGUCCCUCUCACUCCCACGCGCGCGUUGUACAACGACGGUGAGGCAAGGAGGACUUUGGUCACGCCAUCAGCCCAGAUCUCUCUUAAGCUGCUUUCGUUUUGUGCAUAUUUCUCACAAGGAGGCAAAAAAAAACAAGUUGCACUGACACGUGUGUGCCGACAUACACGGGCAGGCACGGGCACAGGAUGCGCACACGUGCUCAGCGAUGCCUUCAUGCCGCUCUGCAAAGUCCCUGGCCUGCAUCCACGCGCGCCGCGCGUGGAACGCAACGCCGCGGCUUUUUGGGCACACUCAUCGCCGAUGACUCCGCGGUCUCGGGGAUAACAACGUCCAACGUGUUGCCACAGGGCUCGUCUGCCACGGAUGACCCCGCGCUGAGUGAGGCGGACUCCUCGUACACGCACCCCCUCGAGGUGAGCGGCACAUCCUUCAAGCUGUACGGAGAGUCCACCACAUACGCCAAGGAGGACGCUGGCCACAUCUUCGCCUCCGCCAAAGUGCUCAGCUACAACCCCGCCAUCCUCUUCAACGACCUGCAACUACAAGAAGGGCACCAGGGGCUGCUCAACCCCACCGGCGGCCUCGGCGCUGGCCGAUCAGGGGAUUCACCGCUGGCAGCCAAUGACCCGGAGAUGGCAACGCGAGCGGCCGAGGAGGAAGAGAGCGACGCCGUCAUGCGCUCUGGACGCAACAAGCAAGGCGCCGCGGGUGCGGCAGCGAUGGCUGCGGCGAUGCUCGACUCGCGCCGCGCGGCUGAAGGCAUAGCCAUGGUACCAGGCCACCCGCUUCCGGUCGUCUUCCCACGAUCCGACGGGCUGUCGCCGGCUCCGCGCGUCAAGAAGCUCGGCUUCGGAGGUUUGAACGAGACACACGCUGGAAAGCAGGCACGCCAGACGAGGCAGAGCAACGAAGAGGAUGUUGAUGCGAUCAUGUGCGGUGAGGUCAUGGAGAGCGAGAGGCGCGUCGAGUCGCACAGCCUGCAGCACAGCAUCACAUGGCGGGUCCAGGUGCUUGAUGAGCACUGCAAGCCCAUUCCCAUAAAGCACUUUCAGCAUUUCCGCGAGGCGAUGGAUGUGCUGCCGGCGCGUGUAAUGCAGGGGCUGAGUGAAUCGGGGCUCACGCGCCCGACGCUCUUCCAGUCGGCCGCCAUUCCGCAGCUGAUGCGCGGGCGCGAUGUCGUCGGCAUCGCUCCCGAUGGCAGCGGAACGACAGUCGCUUACGCCGUGCUUUCCAUGGCCGUGCUCGUGAAGGUCAAGGCCGCCGAGGAGCAGAAGCGGCUGGCAAAGGUGGUGGAGGAGGGCACCAGCUCGGCGCCACUGCCGCCAGAGCUGUCUGAGGCGCCGUCAUCAUCGUCCGGCGACGUCGUGGCGCGCCCGAUUGUGGUUGUCCUGUGCACCAACCGCCAAACGGUGCUGCGGACGGCCGCGAUGUACAGCAGCCUCUCUGCAGAAGACGUUCGACUCGUUGCAGCGUAUCAGUCGGUGGACGGUGACGAUGAAGAAGGCCAGCGGAGCGUCAUUCGACGGAAGAAGGGCUGCGACGUAAUUGUGGCCACACCAGCUCGCUUGACGGCGCUGGUGCGCGAGGGCCAUGUCACUCUGAGUCGCGUGCACGUACUGGUGGUGGACAGGGCGAACCAUCUCUUGGCGGCGGACCCCAGCCGGAAUGGCCGCACAGCGUUGCCGCAUGUCGAGGACAUAAUGCACGCUGUGAAGGUGAACGGCGUUGCGCAUCAGUUUUCUCUGUGGUGCACAGAGCUGGAGCCGUCCAUCGAGUCCCUCGUGCGCAAGUACAUGUCACCGCUGACGGUGACGGUGAUGGCGACGCGCGAGGAGCACACAAACGUGAAUGUGCGCCAGAUCCUGUACCCACUGCCAAGCCGCGAUGACCGUAUCAAAGCCAUCCAGCAGCUGUACGACCAGGGCACCAUCUUGAAGCGCGACCAGGUGUUGGUGUACUGCGCCUAUCGAGAGACCGCAGAGGAGGUGAGGAGGGAGCUGAUCAAGGCGCUGUCUGCCCCGUCAUCUAUGGUUCAGUGUGUGCACAGCGGCCUGUGCUCUCGCAAGCGCAACGAACUCCUCAAGGCCUUCCAGCACGGCGACAUACGCAUUUUGGUUGUCACGGACGUGGCGACGAAGCGACUCGAUGCCGAGGAGCUGGGGCACGUGAUCCACUACGACCUGCCUGCCUUCACCGAGGUGUACAUGCAGCGCGUUAGCCAGGUGGACCGCUCCGGCCGGCAAGGGACGUCGCACACCUUCCUCACCCCAGGCGACACCCGCGUGCCGCCAAUUGCCAGAUUUGUGGAGAAGCAGACGGACCACGCCCUCAACGAUGAAAUUCGCAAGAUGAUCGCUGACAUUGAGGCCGCGGACAGCGAGGACAGCUGGGUCAUCCCGGUGCUGCGCAUGCAUGGCCACGCCUUGUCGAACACGAAAUGGCGGGUGCGCGGACGGCGGGAGAUACGGCAGCAGGUGGAGACUCUCUCUGGUCUGGUAUCGGAGUCGGACCAGAAGCCUGUGGGCUAGGCACAGAAGGUGGCCGACGGGACAACAUCACUGCUGAUAAUGACGUGUCGGCGCAAACCUACCACACGUGACUUGGGGGCGAAAGAGGUACACGCGGAGUGCUUUGGCCCCUCCCCCUCCCUCCUCGUCCUCUUCUGCUCGAGAAAAACGAGCGCGGCACAGGGCUGCAGAACUAGCGAGGGAUGAAAAGCAGAGGAGGUAUCCGCUCUGCAGCGAUGGAGGUGGAAGGGGUCGACACCGGGGCACCACUGCUGCUGCUGCCGCGACUGCGGCAAUCCGGUUGGCGCUCUGCUCUUCCCCUUACUUUGCAGCUCGUUUUGGAGUGCUCUGUCGGUAUGCGUUGUGCCCCAUCGUUAUCUUACUGCUUCACGGAUGUGAUUUCUCGGAUUUCUUGUCAUCGUAGAAAGCCGUGUGCUUUUAUGAUC
rnacentral:misc_RNA from 1 species